GGCUCCGGGGGACGCGGGUUCGCGGCCGCGCUCGACGCCUCCCGGCCGCGUCACUCGGCCGUGCCCGCCCGCCCGCCCGCCGUGGGAGCGGCGCGGGGGGAACAACAGGCGGGACGGUGCCCGGUGAGCCCCCUCACCCCGAGGGAGAAUCGCGUCCCCAGUCCCAGCAGAGGGUAAACCGUCCUCGGGCAGAGCCCGGGCUCCCCUCGGGGCCCGCGCUGGCCGCUGGCUCUCCCGCUUUCCGUGGCUGGAAGCGGGAGGGGGGGGGGGGCUAGCCCAGCGCUUUGGCAUGUAUUUGCCCAACAUAAUAAGGGUUCCUGGCUGCCACUUGCCUCUUCGAACCCCCAAAGCGUUGUUACCUUUGUAAUAGGGCAGGCACUCAUAGUCCCUGCAGCUCCCUAGGCUGGGCUCUGUCAGCUCAGGCCUAAGUACUGCCCCCCUCAGCAGGAUGAAGAUGUUACCAUCUCUAAAAUAUUUAAGACAAUAGGAUCUUAAUGCCUGUAAGGUUCAUUAGAAGGUUCUGGUAAAAAACCACUACAGCUUAUGUGCAAGGCUCUCCUUUUCAUCUGAGGCAAUAUUGCCACCUUGCGCUGGUACGAGGAAAAUUCACUUUUCCUGCACUCUCCUUAAAUUGGUUGAUUGUAUGACCAAAGUAGUACUCGUACAAUCGGAUAAAUACUAUUUAUGAUUUGAAAUUCAUAGUCAAUAUAUUUCUUUACAAUUUAACUUUGUGUCUAAAUAACCAGUCUCUCUGUUGGAAAAAGGGUAAUACAUUUUGGAGAGAGGAUCUUUAAGAGCUAAAUAAGAACAGCCAGUUGAACACCUGCAACAUACCUGUUGCACAGUGGUCCUUGAGCUAAGCAAGCAGUGAUAACCACAUCUUGGGGAAGGUGUAAAUUGAAAGACUCCUAAUCAGAAGCUCCUGCCCUGGAAGAUUAGGACCCUCUGAAGAAUGAUGAACCAGCUGAAACUAGGUAGAAGAUAAGGAAGUGAAAACACGAACAGCCAAGUCCUUACCAUACAGGGAAAGAAAUUCAAAGGCUCGAAAAGUUCCUCCUAAAAACCACUAGAGACCACCAAUGACCCCCAUGGAAGCCCCUCAGAGACCCAAACCACAUGCAUACCUCCCCGGUGACCUUGGAUGUUCCAGCUCAUCCUGAUCACCCAGGAGACUCAGUGUACAUCAGGAGCUGGAAUAACAGACCUCUUAGAGAAAAGUGGAAAGGACCAUUCUGAGUCCUCCUGACCACCCACACAGCAGUCAAGGUAGUGACAGGGUAAUUGAAAGACUCCUAAUCAGAAGCUCCUGCCCUGGAAGAUUAGGACCCUCUGAAGAAUGAUGAACCAGCUGAAACUAGGUAGAAGAUAAGGAAGUGAAAACAUGAACAGCCAAGUCCUUACCAUACAGGGAAGGAAAUUCAAAGGCUUGAAAAGUUCCUCCUAAAAACCACUAGAGACCACCAAUGACCCCCAUGGAAGCCCCUCAGAGACCCAAACCACAUGCGUAGUAAGUAUGUAGAUAUGAUAAUUAGUUCCAGGAAAUAGAAUGAUUAUGUACAAUCAUUCUGGGAAAAUUUAAUGCAUAUGUAUGUAAGAGAGUGCUGUAAGCUUUGGCCAGUGUAACAUACGGUGGACAUGUCAGGUGGAAUAAUUUCGUCAUGCCUCCGGCUGAAUAAAGUAAUGCCUGCUCAUUAAUGCUAAA